AAAAAAUCUUUUUCGAAUCCCUAUAAUCAAGCAGGUAUCUCAAGCAUAUACCACAUCGUUAUAAUGCUGCAUGAUUGAGUGUUUAAUUUUGUUAAAAUAUUGAAAACAAAAGUGUGCAUAAAAAUUGCCUCGCCAUAACAAAAAGGUGGUAGAGAAUUAACACUGUUGUUUACAGUUUAGCACCAAAUCCAGAUGUCGCACAUGUUGGGGUAGGGAUUCAGUGCUCCGCCUUCUCCCCCUGGUCUAGCCACACUCCGAAGUGACCGAAGUGGAAAUCACCUGGAAUUUCGCAGUGGAAAACAGUUGAAGAUUUCACCUGCACGAGAAACGGCGCAGGGAAAUUUAUCGUCGUCGUGCGGAUAACGGGACGACACGUGCCAACAUUUGCUUGAACGCCGAAACACGGAGUCCGGGAGAGCUUUCAUUGGCGAGAAUUUGGAACCGCAGCGGCCAGCACGCUCAUCCACUUGGUUCUGCGCCGAAGAUUGCUCGCUAAUCAUUCGGUGACCACACGCGUUGUCUCGCCACAACAUAGAGGUUGAGCGUUCAGAGGUGUACGGACGAUUCUCCGGUGGUUCUCUAGUCGGCGCGCACGACUCGCUAGCGUGAUUCCGUAAAACGUUGAUAGGUUGAUCAGCUCACGUCUGGCACCACACCAACAGGCAGCUUUGGCACUACACCACAGGUAGCACCGAGAAGAAAAGCCUUCGGAAAGAAGGCUUUUAUUUUCUACUUGAUUUUGAUUUCCAGUUCCCGGUGCAAUCGAGAGGAGCGAUCCCGAUACGCAACUGGAACGACAACAGCGGGACUGUCCCAAGGGAGUGCUUCGCAGACUACAAGAGGUGCGUGCAUUGACACCCGGUGGGGGCUGCUGCUGGGGAGACACGUGGAUCAGACGAGUAACGGGUGCGGCUGUCGACACAACAUCCAAGGGUGCUGAUUGCAUCGCUCGAGUAUCGUCGUGAGGCAGGUAGGCUCGAGCGCAGCCGGAAAGCGAUGGCUGUCUUCCGGUCAGCGUAUGUUGGACGUGAGUACCCUGUGCAUGGGCCGAAGGCCACGAAGAAGAAUUAGAAUAGUAGCAGCAGAAAGAAAAAAGAAGAAUGCAUGCAGGUGAUGAAGAAUAGGAGUAGGGAGCAAGAUAGUACCUGUGUAGUGAUGUUGCGGUUCGAAAAACAAAACAUGCUUG